GCUGGGCAUGGUGGUGCAUGCCUGUAAUCCCAGCUACUCAGGAGGCUGAGGCAGGGGAAUUGCUUGAACCCAGGAGACAGAGGUUGCAGUGAGCUGAGAUGGCACCACUGAACUCCAGCCUGGGUGACAGAGUGAGACUCUGUCUCAA
rnacentral:SRP_RNA from 1 species